rnacentral:rRNA from 1 species
UACGUAGGGGGCUAGCGUUGUCCGGAAUCAUUGGGCGUAAAGAGCGUGUAGGCGGUCCGGUAAGUCCGUUGUGAAAGUCAAGGGCUCAACCCUUGAAUGCCGGUGGAUACUGUCGGGCUCGAGUCCGGAAGAGGAGUGUGGAAUUCCUGGUGUAGCGGUGAAAUGCGCAGAUAUCAGGAGGAACACCAAUGGCGAAGGCAGCACUCUGGGACGUGACUGACGCUGAGACGCGAAAGCGUGGGGAGCAAACAGG